rnacentral:misc_RNA from 1 species
UUUCUACUUGGAUGGGUUCCAUAUCAAUCAAAGAUAAUCAAUCCUUUGCAAGGUGCCAAACCAUAUUAUAAUUAGGUGUUUGAAAGCUAAAAGGAAUCUUAAAGAUUCUCUCAACAUCCAGUGAUAAAAACCCUAACACUGAAAUAAGUGUUAGCAUCAGCUUGUUUCAGCAGCUCAGUGUUCCAAAACAGUGUUUUAUCAUCAGGAGCUUCUACAGCAUUUUAACACAACAUGUGACAUGGGGUUAUUAUUUUGGAAGUGGAUGGAGUGGGAGUCCAUUUGUUAUUACAAAAGUUAAUAUUCCUCAUCUCCAACAGCCCAUGCCAUGCCUUGCCUCAAUAAAUCCCUUGCUAAAAACAUACUUCCACCUGUAGCUUGGAUUGAACCCAACAUUAGCAGUAAGGGAAUCUUCACCAGGGGAAUAACUUUAUGGUUAUUUAAAGGUUUUUUAAGUUUCCGUUACCAUUACACCCAUUAUUAAAAGGCAACAGAAAAAAUGCAUCUGUAACGGCCAUAAAGGCCUUUAUGUAACGGUAGUGAUCGUUAUUUAACGUUAAGUAACAGUAACGGUCCGUUACCUCACUAUUUUUUGGGUCCAAAUAAGGGCAAUAGCUCUUCCUCAUAUUUUGUUUUUGCUUUGGGGAGUUUUAAGUUGCUAUGUCUCACUCUCUCUCAACUUUCCAUAUAAAAUUUUCUAUGUUUCUAUAAAUCUUUUACUUCUUAUCUCUUGAGCUAAGAUUAUAAACUACCUUCUUAGUUCUACACAUCCAUAUCUUGC